rnacentral:rRNA from 1 species
CCUACGGGAGGCAGCAGUGGGGAAUAUUGCACAAUGGGGGGAACCCUGAUGCAGCGACGCCGCGUGAGUGAAGAAGUAUUUCGGUAUGUAAAGCUCUAUCAGCAGGGAAGAAAAUGACGGUACCUGACUAAGAAGCCCCGGCUAACUACGUGCCAGCAGCCGCGGUAAUACGUAGGGGGCAAGCGUUAUCCGGAUUUACUGGGUGUAAAGGGAGCGCAGACGGCUGUGCAAGUCUGGAGUGAAAGGCGGGGGCCCAACCCCCGGACUGCUCUGGAAACUGUAAAGCUGGAGUGCAGGAGAGGUAAGCGGAAGUCCUAGUGUAGCGGUGAAAGGCGUAGAUAUUAGGAGGAACACCAGUGGCGAAGGCGGCUUACUGGACUGCAACUGACGUUGAGGCUCGAAAGCGUGGGGAGCAAACAGGAUUAGAUACCCCGGUAGUC